CCUACGGGUGGCAGCAGUGAGGAAUAUUGGUCAAUGGCCGGAAGGCUGAACCAGCCAUGCCGCGUGAAGGUCAGUGCCCUUUGGGCGUUAAACUUCUUUUGUGCGGGAGCAAUAAUGGUCACGUGUGGCCAGACGAGAGUACCGUACGAAUAAGCAUCAGCUAACUCCGUGCCCGCAGCCGCGGUAAUACGGGGGAUGCAAGCGUUAUCCCGGAUUGUUGGGUUUAAAGGGGGCGUAGGUUGGUAGGUAAGUCAGCGGGGAAAUGCCCCCGCUCAACGGGGUGAAGUGCCAUUGAUACUGCCUAGCUGGAGUGCGGAUGCGGUGGGAGGAAUGUGUGGUGUAGCGGUGAAAUGCAUAGAGAUCACACAGAACACUGAUUGCGAAGGCAUCUCACGAAUCCGCGAUUGACGCUGAUGCACGAAAGCGUGGGUAGCAAACAGGAUUAGAUACCCGGGUAGUC
rnacentral:rRNA from 1 species